GAAAUGCGAUACCUAGUGUGAAUUGCAGAAUUCCGUGAACCAUCGAAUCUUUGAACGCAUAUUGCGCUCGAGGCCUCGGCCAAGAGCAUGUCUGCCUCAGCGUCGGUUUCACCCUCGCUUCAUUCGGAUUCUGUCCCGACAGAAUCUCCGACUGAUAGCGGAGCUGACCGUCUCGCUCUUCAAUCGGGGUUUUGGCCCCGACUGUUAAGGUAGCGGGUCGGUUGAAGCGAAGCGGCUCCGGCAAGGUCCUGAUCGGAUUACCCGAGGGCGCUGGCUAGGUAGGUAGCCUCGGCUGCAUGCCGCCAGACAGCCUGGGAACUUGCAUGGAUGCCUAUAACUACUCUUAACCAUUCGACCUGAGCUCAGGCAAGACCACCCGCUGAACUUAA
rnacentral:misc_RNA from 1 species